GUUGCUUGGGGUUUGACCUGUGGAAAUCUUUGUUAACAGGUACGGGGUUGGACUGGUCUGGUUGCGUGGAAGAAAAGCAGAUUGUCACCAGUAGGCAGCAGUUCUGUGAUGCACUGCGGUCAAUCCCUGACGUGCAGCAGAUGAGGAGGUGUAUGCUGACCCGGAAGGAUGAUUCCAACAGCAGUCAAGAAGAGAAGAGGAGGAUGCGCAGCAAGCAACAGAGCCCACCCGAGCCAAGACCCGCCCCACCCAGUCCGCCGCAGCCCAACCUAGCAGAGGAUCCAGCGCAUCCCAACCCAGCCCAACAGAUAUCCAAUUCCGAUACCAGGAAGCCUAACAGGGAAGCAUUUUGAAUUUAUUUCUUUCCUUCUGUCUCUUCUCCGUCUUCUGAGCACUUCCCUUAUCUAACAGAACUAACCAUCCCCUACCCCUUAACAUAUUUUUUGUUGUCAUUUCAUUAAAUUUCUGUGCUUUGUUUCAUUGUUUUGAAUUUGUACUAAUCUCGUCUCAGUUGUAUAUUUUCAGGCACUCGGACGUGGUACAACGCGGGAGCACCCAGCCAGCCAGCCUCCAGCCAGCCAGCCACAGAUGAAGAGGAAGGAGCCCAUUUGCCUAGUUUUGUCCAGAGGCCCACAUUGGCCA